GAUCAUGGCUCAGAUUGAACGCUGGCGGCAUGCCUUACACAUGCAAGUCGAACGGUAACGCGGGGCAACCUGGCGACGAGUGGCGAACGGGUGAGUAAUACAUCGGAACGUGCCCAGUAGUGGGGGAUAGCCCGGCGAAAGCCGGAUUAAUACCGCAUACGACCUACGGGUGAAAGCGGGGGAUCGCAAGACCUCGCGCUAUUGGAGCGGCCGAUGUCAGAUUAGCUAGUUGGUGGGGUAAAAGCCUACCAAGGCGACGAUCUGUAGCUGGUCUGAGAGGACGACCAGCCACACUGGGACUGAGACACGGCCCCAGACUCCUACGGGAGGCAGCAGUGGGGAAUUUUGGACAAUGGGCGCAAGCCUGAUCCAGCCAUGCCGCGUGAGUGAAGAAGGCCUUCGGGUUGUAAAGCUCUUUCGGCCGGGAAGAAAUCGCAUGGGUUAAUACCCUGUGUGGAUGACGGUACCGGAAUAAGAAGCACCGGCUAACUACGUG
rnacentral:rRNA from 1 species